UACGGAGGGUGCAAGCGUUAUCCGGAUUCACUGGGUUUAAAGGGUGCGUAGGCGGACAGGUAAGUCAGUGGUGAAAUCUCCGAGCUUAACUCGGAAACUGCCUUUGAUACUCUCUGUCUUGAAUAUGGUGGAGGUAAGCGGAAUAUGUCAUGUAGCGGUGAAAUGCUUAGAGAUGACAUGAGACCACUAUUGCGAAGGCAGCUUACUACGCCUAUAUUGACGCUGAGGCACGAAAGCGUGGGGAUCAAACAGG
rnacentral:rRNA from 1 species